GAUGAACGCUGGCGGCGUGCCUAAUACAUGCAAGUCGAGCGAACGGACGAGAAGCUUGCUUCUCUGAUGUUAGCGGCGGACGGGUGAGUAACACGUGGAUAACCUACCUAUAAGACUGGGAUAACUUCGGAAAACCGGAGCUAAUACCGGAUAAUAUUUUGAACCGCAUGGUUCAAAAGUGAAAGACGGUCUUGCUGUCACUUAUAGAUGGAUCCGCGCUGCAUUAGCUAGUUGGUAAGGUAACGGCUUACCAAGGCAACGAUGCAUAGCCGACCUGAGAGGGUGAUCGGCCACACUGGAACUGAGACACGGUCCAGACUCCUACGGGAGGCAGCAGUAGGGAAUCUUCCGCAAUGGGCGAAAGCCUGACGGAGCAACGCCGCGUGAGUGAUGAAGGUCUUCGGAUCGUAAAACUCUGUUAUUAGGGAAGAACAUAUGUGUAAGUAACUGUGCACAUCUUGACGAUACCUAAUCAGAAAGCCACGGCUAACUACGUG
rnacentral:rRNA from 1 species